GAUGAAGAACGCAGCGAAAUGCGAUAAGUAAUGUGAAUUGCAGAAUUCAGUGAAUCAUCGAAUCUUUGAACGCACAUUGCGCCCGCCAGUAUUCUGGCGGGCAUGCCUGUUCGAGCGUCAUUUCAACCAUCAAGCCCCCGGCUUGUGUUGGGGACCUGCGGCUGCCGCAGGCCCUGAAAACCAGUGGCGGGCUCGCUAGUCACUCCGAGCGUAGUAGUUACAUCUCGCUCAGGGCGUGCUGCGGGUUCCGGCCGUUAAAAGCCUUAUUUACCCAAGGUUGACCUCGGAUCAGGUAGGAAGACCCGCUGAACUUAAGCAUAUCAAUAAGCGGAGGA
rnacentral:misc_RNA from 1 species